rnacentral:rRNA from 1 species
UGCGUAGGUGGCCUUUUAAGUUGGAUGUGAAAUACCCGGGCUUAACUUGGGGGUGCAUCUAAUACUGGGAGGCUAGAGUGCAGGAGAGGGAAGCGGAAUUCCUAGUGUAGCGGUGAAAUGCGUAGAUAUUAGGAGGAACACCAGUGGCGAAGGCGGCUUUCUGGACUGUAACUGACACUGAGGCACGAAAGCGUGGGGAGCAAACA